UAGGGAAUAUUGGACAAUGGGGGCAACCCUGAUCCAGCCAUGCCGCGUGAGUGAUGAAGGCCUUAGGGUUGUAAAGCUCUUUCGCCGGUGAAGAUAAUGACGGUAACCGGAGAAGAAGCCCCGGCUAACUUCGUGCCAGCAGCCGCGGUAAUACGAAGGGGGCUAGCGUUGCUCGGAAUUACUGGGCGUAAAGCGCACGUAGGCGGUUUCUUAAGUCGGGGGUGAAAUCCUGGAGCUCAACUCCAGAACUGCCUUCGAUACUGGGAAACUUGAGUUCGGGAGAGGUGAGUGGAACUGCGAGUGUAGAGGUGAAAUUCGUAGAUAUUCGCAAGAACACCAGUGGCGAAGGCGGCUCACUGGCCCGAUACUGACGCUGAGGUGCGAAAGCGUGGGGAGCAAACA
rnacentral:rRNA from 1 species